rnacentral:rRNA from 1 species
GACGAACGCUGGCGGCGUGCUUAACACAUGCAAGUCGAACGGAAAGGCCCUGCUUUUGUGGGGUGCUCGAGUGGCGAACGGGUGAGUAACACGUGAGUAACCUGCCCUUGACUUUGGGAUAACUUCAGGAAACUGGGGCUAAUACCGUAUAGGAGCUCCUGCUGCAUGGUGGGGGUUGGAAAGUUUCGGCGGUUGGGGAUGGACUCGCGGCUUAUCAGCUUGUUGGUGGGGUAGUGGCUUACCAAGGCUUUGACGGGUAGCCGGCCUGAGAGGGUGACCGGCCACAUUGGGACUGAGAUACGGCCCAGACUCCUACGGGAGGCAGCAGUGGGGAAUAUUGCACAAUGGGCGGAAGCCUGAUGCAGCAACGCCGCGUGCGGGAUGACGGCCUUCGGGUUGUAAACCGCUUUCGCCUGUGACGAAGCGUGAGUGACGGUAAUGGGUAAAGAAGCACCAGCUAACUACGUG